UACGAAGGGGGCUAGCGUUGCUCGGAAUCACUGGGCGUAAAGGGUGCGUAGGCGGCUUGAUAAGCGUGCGGUGAAAGCCCGGGGCUCAACCCCGGGUCGGCCGUGCGAACUGUCGAGCUGGAGCACUGUAGAGGCAGGUGGAAUUCCGGGUGUAGCGGUGGAAUGCGUAGAGAUCCGGAAGAACACCGGUGGCGAAGGCGGCCUGCUGGGCAGUGGCUGACGCUGAGGCGCGACAGCGUGGGGAGCAAACAGG
rnacentral:rRNA from 1 species